GGGGCUAAACCAUGCACCGAAGCUGCGGCAGCGACACUCAGUGUUGUUGGGUAGGGGAGCGUUCUGUAAGCCUGUGAAGGUGUGUCGUGAGGCAUGCUGGAGGUAUCAGAAGUGCGAAUGCUGACAUAAGUAACGAUAAAGCGGGUGAAAAGCCCGCUCGCCGGAAGACCAAGGGUUCCUGUCCAACGUUAAUCGGGGCAGGGUGAGUCGACCCCUAAGGCGAGGCCGAAAGGCGUAGUCGAUGGGAAACGGGUUAAUAUUCCCGUACUUGGUGUUACUGCGAAGGGGGGACGGAGAAGGCUAUGUUGGCCGGGCGACGGUUGUCCCGGUUUAAGCGUGUAGGCUGGUUUUCCAGGCAAAUCCGGAAAAUCAAGGCUGAGGCGUGACGACGAGGCACUACGGUGCUGAAGCAACAAAUGCCCUGCUUCCAGGAAAAGCCUCUAAGCAUCAGGUAACAUCAAAUCGUACCCCAAACCGACACAGGUGGUCAGGUAGAGAAUACCAAGGCGCUUGAGAGAACUCGGGUGAAGGAACUAGGCAAAAUGGUGCCGUAACUUCGGGAGAAGGCACGCUGACACGUAGGUGAAGUGAUUUACUCAUGGAGCUGAAGUCAGUCGAAGAUACCAGCUGGCUGCAACUGUUUAUUAAAAACACAGCACUGUGCAAACACGAAAGUGGACGUAUACGGUGUGACGCCUGCCCGGUGCCGGAAGGUUAAUUGAUGGGGUCAGCGCAAGCGAAGCUCCUGAUCGAAGCCCCGGUAAACGGCGGCCGUAACUAUAACGGUCCUAAGGUAGCGAAAUUCCUUGUCGGGUAAGUUCCGACCUGCACGAAUGGCGUAAUGAUGGCCAGGCUGUCUCCACCCGAGACUCAGUGAAAUUGAACUCGCUGUGAAGAUGCAGUGUACCCGCGGCAAGACGGAAAGACCCCGUGAACCUUUACUAUAGCUUGACACUGAACAUUGAGCCUUGAUGUGUAGGAUAGGUGGGAGGCUUUGAAGUGUGGACGCCAGUCUGCAUGGAGCCGACCUUGAAAUACCACCCUUUAAUGUUUGAUGUUCUAACGUGGACCCGUAAUCCGGGUUGCGGACAGUGUCUGGUGGGUAGUUUGACUGGGGCGGUCUCCUCCUAAAGAGUAACGGAGGAGCACGAAGGUUGGCUAAUCCUGGUCGGACAUCAGGAGGUUAGUGCAAUGGCAUAAGCCAGCUUGACUGCGAGCGUGACGGCGCGAGCAGGUGCGAAAGCAGGUCAUAGUGAUCCGGUGGUUCUGAAUGGAAGGGCCAUCGCUCAACGGAUAAAAGGUACUCCGGGGAUAACAGGCUGAUACCGCCCAAGAGUUCAUAUCGACGGCGGUGUUUGGCACCUCGAUGUCGGCUCAUCACAUCCUGGGGCUGAAGUAGGUCCCAAGGGUAUGGCUGUUCGCCAUUUAAAGUGGUACGCGAGCUGGGUUUAGAACGUCGUGAGACAGUUCGGUCCCUAUCUGCCGUGGGCGCUGGAGAACUGAGGGGGGCUGCUCCUAGUACGAGAGGACCGGAGUGGACGCAUCACUGGUGUUCGGGUUGUCAUGCCAAUGGCACUGCCCGGUAGCUAAAUGCGGAAGAGAUAAGUGCUGAAAGCAUCUAAGCACGAAACUUGCCCCGAGAUGAGUUCUCCCUGAGACUU
rnacentral:rRNA from 1 species